CCUACGGGGGGCUGCAGUGGGGAAUAUUGGACAAUGGGGGCAACCCUGAUCCAGCCAUGCCGCGUGUGUGAAGAAGGCCCUCGGGUUGUAAAGCACUUUCAGUGAGGAAGAACGCCUGGUGGUUAAUACCCAUCAGGAAAGACAUCACUCACAGAAGAAGCACCGGCUAACUCCGUGCCAGCAGCCGCGGUAAUACGGAGGGUGCGAGCGUUAAUCGGAAUUACUGGGCGUAAAGCGCGCGUAGGUGGCUUGAUAAGCCGGUUGUGAAAGCCCCGGGCUCAACCUGGGAACGGCAUCCGGAACUGUCAAGCUAGAGUGCAGGAGAGGAAGGUAGAAUUCCCGGUGUAGCGGUGAAAUGCGUAGAGAUCGGGAGGAAUACCAGUGGCGAAGGCGGCAUUCUGGACUGACACUGACACUGAGGUGCGAAAGCGUGGGUAGCAAACAGGAUUAGAUACCCUGGUAGUC
rnacentral:rRNA from 1 species